GACUCUAUUCUUGGUGACUCUUUGUUCCUCAAACUCUCCCAGGUUCAUGAGUCCAUCACUCUGGCUCUAACAUCGCCCACCAUGAUUUCUUCUUUUUCCAGUACUAUUCCCAGGCUUGGGUUGCUGAUGAGAUCAGCUGUUUGAAUGAGGUCUACAAUCCCACGAAGACAUUCGCUGCUGCAGGAAAUCCUUCCCGGGCCUCCUGUUGGUUUCCCUUUCCCAGUGCCCACAUCCAUCCCAAGAUGACCUUCCUUGACACUCUCAGCCGGACACACAGACACACCAUGGGAGCCAAUCACAGAAGCUGAAAGUAAUGAGUGGUGAAAAAACAGAAAGUAACAGAGUUCAAGAUCAUAUCCUGGAGAAACUUCAGAACUCAGCAUCUGUCCUCACCCUAGCAUGAGACCUGAAAUUUUAGGUUACAGAUUACUCUUUUCACUGGAAGCCAGACAACUUGGAUGAGGAGAAAGAGCCCUAGGUGGAGGAUACGGACGUGACAAGAGGGAAGAGCUUAAGAAUGAAAGAGACUGAGGACUAUAAGCCUUGCUUCGUGAAGGUCCUACUAAAAGGAUCACAUGGCUUACAGAGAUAGCACAGAAUCCACCAUUCUCUAUAAAUCUUGCCUUCUCACCGUGACCCAGAUCCCCCUAGAAGACAGAGUUCUUGCCAAAGGUUGAGACUGUGUGUUUCUUUCCCAAAGAAAUUUUUCAGCUGGGUCUUACUACGUGCACUCCAAGAUGGGACCUUUUGUCCAGGAGCUGUCUGUCCACUCACAGCCAGAGAGGAGCCCACACUGGGGAUCCUCUUAAAUGUGUUACUAAGGACAGAGGUGAAAGAAAAAGGAAAAUUAGGGAGAGAAAACUCUCCAGGUACUUGUUCUCUGGAGUCACGGUUGUCAUGGAGUUUUUAUCCCUGCUAAUUUCAUGCUCCGUUUUGCCAUGUCCCUUUUGGAUCCAUUCCCCACUUCCCCAUCGUCCAAUCAUCAUCAUAUGGUUAUAACUUUUAACGAACUUGGAGCCAUUAGAGCUGGAAAGGACCUAGGGAUUAUCUAGUUCAAAACCUUCCAUUUCCAGGUGAGGACCUGAAGCCAGUGGAGCUAAGGGAGUUGCCCAAGAAGACAUAGCUAGUUGGUAAAAUAGCUUGAAAACAAUAAAUUAAAAAUAUGGGCUUCCUGUUUACAAAGCAGUUUCAUUUUAGAUAUAUACAUACAUACAUUUUCUCAAAUAUCUGAUCUGAAUCAAUCAUCACACCUAUAAGGCAGAUGUGGCCUUAUUUUCUAUGCAUAAAUGAGGACAUUGAGGCAAUGUGAAAUACAGUAAAACUGAUUCAUAAUAGAGCCAAGAAUUAUUGUGGUUAAAACCACGGGCAUUGGUAUCAGCGAAUAUGGGUUACAUUCUGGCUCUUCUACUUGAUAGCUGUGUGACCUUGAACAAAUUAACCUCCCUAAGCCUCAGAAUUAUCACUUCAAGGUUAUCAUAAAAUGGGACUGACAGUAGUAGCUACUUCAUAGAGUAGCUCUUCAUAGGGAAAAUCAAAUUCAAUUGCCUAUAAAUCAUUACUUAGAGUGUAUAAUGCACAGCAUGCUUUCUAUUAAUAGUAAGUAUAAGCUUGUUCUCUGAAUUGGACUUCUUUCCAGUGUAUUAUCCUGCAUUAAAAAUAUUCAUUAAAAUAUCUACUUAAGGUAAUUCUCCUAAACUUUUUUGUUGCUUUUUAAAUUUUUUAAAAAAUAGGGCUCAUCUAUCCUGUCAUUACUAGGGCUAUAGAGAUGUUUUAGGAAGGUACCAUGCUUAAUUUGAUCUACUUCAGCUAAUCUUACUUCCAGGAAAAAUGGGGUGGGUAAAUAUAUUAUUCCACUCUUACUAAUAGGUUAGUAGUUAUGAUAAAAACUAAUAAUUUAAUUGUAUAAUCUGAACAUAUUCUUAAGAUAGAUAGAUCCAGAAUAGAUCAUAUAUGUAUAAUUGAACAUUAUUCAGCCUUAAAAAGGAGGAAAUUCUGCCAUUUGAGACAACAUGGAUGGAAAUUUCAACACUGG